rnacentral:rRNA from 1 species
UGGAAGUAAAAGUCGUAACAAGGUUUCCGUAGGUGAACCUGCGGAAGGAUCAUUAUCGAAAGAAACUUCUGGCUGGAUGCUUGUUGUGCUGGCCCUUUGCGGCAGCGUGCACACCUCCGGUCGUUUGUUUCC